rnacentral:rRNA from 2 species
UCAUCUUCGGGGGUAGAGCACUGUUUCGGCUAGGGGGUCAUCCCGACUUACCAACCCGAUGCAAACUACGAAUACCGAAGAAUGUUAUCACGGGAGACACACGGCGGGUGCUAACGUCCGUCGUGAAGAGGGAAACAACCCAGACCGCCAGCUAAGGUCCCAAAGUCAUGGUUAAGUGGGAAACGAUGUGGGAAGGCACAGACAGCCAGGAUGUUGGCUUAGAAGCAGCCAUCAUUUAAAGAAAGCGUAAUAGCUCACUGGUCGAGUCGGCCUGCGCGGAAGAUGUAACGGGGCUAAACCAUGCACCGAAGCUGCGGCAGCGACACUAUGUGUUGUUGGGUAGGGGAGCGUUCUGUAAGCCUGCGAAGGUGUGCUGUGAGGCAUGCUGGAGGUAUCAGAAGUGCGAAUGCUGACAUAAGUAACGAUAAAGCGGGUGAAAAGCCCGCUCGCCGGAAGACCAAGGGUUCCUGUCCAACGUUAAUCGGGGCAGGGUGAGUCGACCCCUAAGGCGAGGCCGAAAGGCGUAGUCGAUGGGAAACAGGUUAAUAUUCCUGUACUUGGUGUUACUGCGAAGGGGGGACGGAGAAGGCUAUGUUAGCCGGGCGACGGUUGUCCCGGUUUAAGCAUGUAGGCUG